rnacentral:lncRNA from 1 species
GUGCUUGUUCCACUGGGAUGUUUCUUGGUGGAAGUUACAGCUCCCACCAGAGCCCAAUAAUGAUUCAGACAUUGUUUCCCAACAGGUGAAUGUAUGUCGGCAUAGAUAUGUACAAAAACCAUAGCUGUUGCUCGAAGCAGGUGAUUCUAAGGUCCUCCCGGAAGCCAGUGUGAAUUUCAAUUGGAAAAGGUGUGUCUGGUGCCAUUACCUAUCUGCAGUACCAGAGAGGAUCACCUAGAAGCCACCAGGAACCUCACUUUAGCCAUCUUCUAGGCUGGUGCUUACAACUGAUAAAGGAAGAAAAAUGACUUCUUCUCUUCUGCCUGCAUAAUAUUAUGCAAAUCCUCUCACUGGCAGAACUUCUACAAAAAUCCCAUCGGCCUCACCUUUCUACCCAUUUUAACAACAAACCUGCCUGCUAUUCUGGAAAGAAGUGCCACUCUCUGUAAAGAGACCCUUCCUAACAAAAUGUGUAUGUUGUCCCUGUCCUCAGCGAAUGUUUUCCUGGAUGCUGAGACAUACAUCCAGUGAUCAAGACCUAUAUAACCUGGGAGAAGUCAUCAAGCCGUCUACCAUGAUCAAGAAUCAAUUAGAAGAUAACUCAGAUCAUGUGAUGUUGCCUAGCCAUGAGGUACCUGAAGAGAAUUUGACAAUUUCUAAUUGCAAGAAAAAGAAAAAGAAGAGACUAGCAAUAAGGUUAGCAUCUUCAACUUGCAAAGAAAAAGCCACAUUUCACGGAUAUGAUUCAUGGGACUUAUUUGAGUAUUGACUUUUCUGAACAUGCUGGAGAGGAUGUGGGUGAGAUAAUCUUGUUUCAAAUAUAUAUAUAUUUAUGGAUCAAAGUUAAAUCUUCCAAAUGCAACAAUAUGGAUUCUAUGACU